AUUGAACGCUAGCGGGAGGCUUAACACAUGCAAGUCGAGAGAGCGGCGUACGGGUGAGUAAUAUAUGGGAAACUGCCCAAUGGCGGGGGAUCACUACUGGAACGGGUAGCUAAUACCGCAUACCAUGGGAUAGGCCGAGAUGGGAUUAGCUCGUGGGGGGGGUAAUGGCUCACCAAGGCGACGAUCCCUAGCUGGUCUGAGAGGAUGACCAGCAACACUGGAACUAAGGAACGGCCCAGACGCCGACGGGAGGCAGCAGUGGGGAAUAUUGGACAAUGGGUGCAACCCUGAUGCAGCCAUGCCGCGUGUGUGAAGAAGGCCUUCGGGUUGUAAAGCACUUUCAGCGAGGAGGCGUUAUCCGCAGAAGAAGCACCGGCUAACUACGUGCCAGCCGCCGCGGUAAUUC
rnacentral:rRNA from 1 species